rfam:Myotis brandtii contig222211, whole genome shotgun sequence.
ACCUGCCUAAGAAAAGAUCCAAAUGGAAUCGUGGGCUCCCUGUGCCCUGGUCACUGAUUGUGCAGGGAGAGAGUCGCUGAAAGGCAUUUUCCCGUGUUUGAGGGGUCCAGCUGUCCCUUCCACCCUGGAGCUUUCACACA